rnacentral:misc_RNA from 1 species
CUCAAACAGCUCUUCGAAGAAGCUUACGAACGCUGUCGUACUGCCCCUAUGGAAGGCGUUGCCUUCACCCUCGAAGACUUUCACUCUGCUCUUGAUAAGUAUGACUUCGAUUCCGAGAUUGGUACCACGGUCAAGGGCACAGUUUUCAUGACUGAUGCCAACGGUGCAUUAGUUGACAUUACUGCAAAAUCUUCUGCAUAUUUGCCAAUCCAAGAAGCUUGCAUUCACAAGAUCAAACAUGUAGAAGAAGCUGGUAUAGUUCCUGGAUUGACAGAGGAGUUUGUUAUUAUAGGUGAAAAUGAAGCUGAUGAUAGUUUAGUCUUGAGCUUAAGGGC